UAGAGUUUGGAUCCUGGCUCAGAUUGAACGCUGGCGGCAGGCCUAACACAUGCAAGUCGAGCGGAAACGAGUUAACUGACCCUUCGGGUGACGUUAACGGCGUCGAGCGGCGGACGGGUGAGUAAUGCCUGGGAAAUUGCCCUGAUGUGGGGGAUAACCAUUGGAAACGAUGGCUAAUACCGCAUAAUGCCUUCGGGCCAAAGAGGGGGACCUUCGGGCCUCUCGCGUCAGGAUAUGCCCAGGUGGGAUUAGCUAGUUGGUGAGGUAAUGGCUCACCAAGGCGACGAUCCCUAGCUGGUCUGAGAGGAUGAUCAGCCACACUGGAACUGAGACACGGUCCAGACUCCUACGGGAGGCAGCAGUGGGGAAUAUUGCACAAUGGGCGCAAGCCUGAUGCAGCCAUGCCGCGUGUGUGAAGAAGGCCUUCGGGUUGUAAAGCACUUUCAGCAGUGAGGAAGGC
rnacentral:rRNA from 1 species